AUGUUCAUUAGGCUUAAAUGCAGAGAUCGAGUUCUUAGUUGCGGUUCUCCUAUAAAUCUGAGCACCGGUUCGCUUCCAUUUACAAUUCGUUCGUCUUCACCUCAGACUCUCAUCUCUGAUUCAUCUUUGACAUCUCUCUACCAGAGAUUGUCUGGUGCACCUUCGAUGUUACUCAGGAGACGAGAAAACCAGAAGGAAAACUCAGCAAUUUAUGAAGAUUAA